GUAAUUUUCCGGGUGAUAAAAAUUAUCUUUUGAAUACAAGUUACUGUUUUAUACCUCAGCUGUAAAUUUAUUUAAAAGACAGACAGUAAAGACCAAAGUAAAUUUGUCUUUGUCACACUGAAGGUUUUCAAAGCCUCAGUGUCAAACUACAUGGAUGCUAAACACUUUAUGGUCUCAAUAUUGCUGUUAACACCCACUGUACAAGUAUAUUUAUAUAUGAAGUGAGGUUUCUUAGUCUAGAGCUGUUUGGUUUGUUAUCAACAUGAACAGUGGCUGCCUAAAAAUCAGCUUCUGAACAGCUGGCAGUUGACCUAUUGGGCUUUAGCACCGCCUAAAUUCAUAUGACGUCUCUGCUCUUUUACACAAAUUGUGUACCUUAACUUCUCAUCAAGGAAGUCGGUGCAGUCCCUUUCUGUUUGCUUCAGAAUCUAGGAAUGUAGAAGAACCUUAGAAUGGAUUUUUUAAAGAGAGUCGUUCCUCCCAUACUUUCUGGAGAUACGAUUUUGGAUACUAGAGAUAGUACUCAGGAAAAUUCCCCAAGGUUGCUUAAGAUGAGGCGUCUCAGUUUGCUUUCAUCGGAGAAGACAAUAGAUGAGCAAGACAGAACCGGUUUCCAUCACAGGCAUGACAAAUGCAAACAUCGACAACUGGAUCCUCAUGGUUUUAAGAAACUGAAGGACAUGCACGGAGAAUCCUUAGGAAUUCUGAUGUGGUGAAAGGUUGUUGGGCAGGGCAAUGUCCCAGAAGAACCCGAGUUCUAAAUAAUGGAACUUCUAUUCUGGCCCACAUGGGUCUACUCACUGUGUAAGUGUGGGAGGGAAUGCAGGGGUUCUUCUUGCUUAUACAAGUUUGGAACUGUUGGGUUUUGCUGUACUUUUCAGACUGUGAUUAUUAGAGGGUAUAUGAUCAGCCUUUUCAGGAUGUAUUGUUUGUGCCCUUUUUGGAUCUCCUGAGAAUCUUACGAUAAAGGAGGGGUACCAGGAGGGUCUAUAGCCAUUGUGGGAGAGGCAGUGAAUUGAGAAAGGAGUGGACCAGGGCUUUGAUCUAGACUGAGCUGAGCUCCCCCAGCGUCCUGUGUGUCCUGGAACAGGGAGGCCACUAAAUCUCACCCACCAAUUUGAAUCAUCUUUCUAACAUUGUUUUUAAGAUUUUUUUUAAAAAAGGUAAUAGGGCCGGGG
rnacentral:lncRNA from 1 species